AAAUGAGCAAGACAUGGAGCACAAGCUGGUCAUGGUGCCAAGAAGUCUAGAACAACAAGAGUAGAAGGAACACCUAAGUGUUCUUCUAUAGACAGAUCCAUCGUCCUUAUGGAGGAAAACAGAACCUAAAAUCUGAAGAGAAAUAAAGAUCUCUAGCAAGAAGCAUUACUGAAGGCUUGGCCAGUCCAGAUGAUCUAAGGCACCAUAUACAUUUAAUAACCUGGGCACUACAGUAGAGGUCCUGCGUUGUCAAGAUGGGAAAACCAAGAUGAGUAUCAGGUAAGUGAG